CCAGGCAUUCAGUCAAAUAUUCACUUCUGACAUAAUCUAACCAGUGCAACAGCCUGUGUACAUAAAAGUUCAUGCCAAGUUACCUCAACUGCUAUUGUUAAAUAGAACUCAAAAUCUCCACAAGCUAUAAACUUUCUGAAAAAAAAAUAUGAUAAAAGAAAUUACCAUAAGAGCAUUCAAGUCUUGAAAAAGCCUCUUGCAAGCUCUUAUCAGUACUUUCCCACAUCUCCCCUUCUUUCCUCAAUAUCCCAGCCUCACUGACUCAAAUUGAGUAACUGUAACAUUAUCAUUGAGUAACUGCAGCAAAUUCUCUCUUUAUCACCCCAUGCUGUUGACCUCCAAUUUACGAGUCGCUUCCCUUCUUAAUCACUCAACCUUACUCUCCUCGUUCCUAUACUUUGCAAAUGUUUUAACUCUGUUCCUAUUAGAAUUGGGAGCCUAACCUCUCAGUACUCAUAGUCAUUAGUCUGGUUAUGACGCAUUCAUGCUAUUAUAUAUGCAUUUGUUGGUUGACAUUUACAUCAGGGAUUAUGCCUCUUACCAGAAUGGUACAGUGAGUUUAUGAUUGAUCCUCACUGUUAAUAUUAUAAGGCCUGCAUGCUAGAUAGAUGUGAUGGAUUCUUGUACUUUGUGG
rnacentral:lncRNA from 1 species